rnacentral:lncRNA from 1 species
UAUAUUCUAUGAAGCAUUUAUUUUUACUAAUAUGAAUUAGUAUCAUGUUAUGAUUAUAUGUUCAAACAUUAAAUGAUUGAUUAUCAUGACAUGUGAUUGCGAAUUACCAUAUGUAUACCCUUCCAUGUAGGCUUUGCGCAUGUGUAUUCAGAAUUAGAUCACUCUACUCGCGCGAUAUAGUUAAAUUCUACUAUGUAUUGAAAGGUUUUUCCCCUGCUCUGCUUGCACGAUGAUGAUCACGCGAGUAUGAUAGUUAUUCCCCUGGGUACUCUUUGGUACAGUUUGUCAUGUAUGUAUGUAUGAUAUUUCAUGUUUGCUUAUAUAUUAUGUUCAACGUGGAGUUAUGUCAUAUGAUUAUAUAUAAGUAUUAGUACACUACUUUAUACAUACAUACAUACAUAUAUAUAUAUAUAUAUCUACUUACUGAGCCACAAGCUCACUAUUUUCCUAUUUACCUCAUUUUUUCUAAGUUUCCUUAGGACUUUGUGUAGCUCAGUUUCUAAUUAGUUGAGGUUGGACCACAACAUUCACUACUGCAUGACUUGUAUUUUGAGCAUGAGAUGUCAAUUGUGCAAGUUUUGAAUAUAUUUUUGGAGGAGGCAUAGAUGUUUCUAUAUGAUUACAGUAGGGGCCCAAGGCCAAUUUUAUAUAUCCAUAAAUUAGAUUUAUGUCAUGAGAUCUAUAUAUUAGAUUGCAUGAUUCGCCUCGGAUCUAGCAGAUGAUCGGGCCGGGUCCUGUUAGCCUUUAUUUUUAAUGUUUUUUUGCUGCCAUUCUCUAUAAUAUUCAAUCAAGAAUCGUUUGUAAGUAAGUUUGCAGACAUCAUUUUUAUCAUUACCACAGUGGUGAUGCUAUCGCCCAACUGAUAGCAAUGGGCACUGGAUGAUGGCAGCAUCAGCCGAUAGAUGGGCGCCAUUGGCCAAGCAAUGGUAGCGGCCAAUGGUUGAUAGAUGGAUGCCAUCGCCCAAGUGAUUGUAUUGGGCGAUGGUGCCAUCGUCUAGGCGAUGGAGGCAGGUGAUGGUGUCAUUGCUAAUGAUGAUGGAGGUGAUUGUAUCCAUCGCCCACAAUCUCAGUGUGGGCAAUGUGGAUGAUGGAAGCCAUCAUUUUGUUCUAAAUAUUUUGGUCCAGAAUAAGUAUGCUAUAUGUAGUUAAAAAUGUAUGAAAUUUAGUUGUGCAGUUAGUUUUGAUAAUGAAUAUUUGAAACUGUUUACAUAGCUAAAUUUCCCAAUAUUAUAAAACAUCGUGCCCAUAAUCCAAGAGUCAAAAUCUGUGCAGGCUAAGUAAUUAUUAUUUAUAGUCACACACGCAAGUUAUAGCCAACGCAACUAGAGAUAUUGAACCACAUACGUAAAAUUCAACUCAAGUAGAUGGGCGACGCUUUGAAAAUCGAACCAAUCCAAUUCAAUGAAUAGAGGAUAAAACCCAUGAAGUUGACUUUUUGAGAACCCAUGCCACCACCUUCACCUGAUGCUGCAAUGAAGUUGAGUUUUUGUUCAACUGAAUUAAUGGGGUGGAAAUGCUUCAGCCGACUCAGCUUUAGUGCACCGCCGCAGUACUCCGUUUAUUCAUGACUGAGUUUUUGGCUUCAUCGAAUAAUUGAUUUAUAAUUAGGAAGCAUGGGUUGUGAUCGGCACUCAGAAAAUUAGAACACACGUAAAAUAAUAGGCGAAGAAAACAUAAUGCAAGGAGUAAUAGAGAUGAGCGUAUAUACAGAGCUGAGUAUCAUUAUCAUAUUGAUUAAUAUUUCUCAUAAAAUUCUAAACUGCAAACUCGAGGGUUGCAGCUUUUAAAAUUGGGGGAACUUCUGCAAUAGGCACAGUUAAUUAAAAGCAUUACUUAAUGAUGUCAGUAAAUAUGGGUAUUUUUAAAGGAACAAAUGUUUGCUUAGUCUUUAUAUUUUAAGUUAAUUAUUUGUUUAGUC